UACGUAGGGUGCAAGCGUUAAUCGGAAUUACUGGGCGUAAAGCUUGCGCAGGCGGUUUUGUAAGUCUGACGUGAAAUCCCCGGGCUCAACCUGGGAAUUGCGUUGGAGACUGCAAGGCUGGAGUCUGGCAGAGGGGGGUAGAAUUCCACGUGUAGCAGUGAAAUGCGUAGAGAUGUGGAGGAACACCGAUGGCGAAGGCAGCCCCCUGGGUCAAGACUGACGCUCAUGCACGAAAGCGUGGGGAGCAAACAGG
rnacentral:rRNA from 1 species